rnacentral:rRNA from 1 species
UACGGAGGGAGCUAGCGUUGUUCGGAAUUACUGGGCGUAAAGCGCGCGUAGGCGGCCUUGCAAGUUAGAGGUGAAAGCCCGGAGCUCAACUCCGGAACUGCCUUUAAAACUGCAUAGCUUGAAUCCGGGAGAGGUGAGUGGAAUUCCGAGUGUAGAGGUGAAAUUCGUAGAUAUUCGGAAGAACACCAGUGGCGAAGGCGGCUCUCUGGGACGGUACUGACGCUGAGACGCGAAAGCGUGGGGAGCGAACAGG